CCAAUUUUUGUCAAUGCCCAAUCCUGUCUGAUCCUUGAAGCUAAGCAGGGUUGGGCCUACUUCGUACAUGGAUGGGAGACUGCUGUGGAUAAUGGGU
rnacentral:rRNA from 1 species